rnacentral:rRNA from 1 species
UACGGGGGGGGCAAGCGUUGUUCGGAAUUACUGGGCGUAAAGGGCGCGUAGGCGGCCUGCUAAGUCGGACGUGAAAUCCCUCGGCUCAACCGGGGAACUGCGUCCGAUACUAGUGGGCUCGAAUCCGGGAGAGGGAUGUGGAAUUCCAGGUGUAGCGGUGAAAUGCGUAGAUAUCUGGAGGAACACCGGUGGCGAAGGCGGCAUCCUGGACCGGUAUUGACGCUGAUGCGCGAAAGCCAGGGGAGCAAACGGG